GAAAAGCAGAGAAAAUAGCUGACAGCCAUUGCUCAUUUGCUCCCUCCUUUCCUUUUGCCUCUCUGCCUCUAUCUCUCUGCACUGCCACGCCCUUCUCUCUCUGCGAAAACCAAACGGAGUGGGCGGCCCUGUGCUUAGUCUUAACUCUGCUUCCUUUCUUUGGGAGACACACAGCCCACCCUCUAGCUUGCCGGUUUGCUUGCUCCCCUUCUUCUCCUCCGUCCUUACUCGUCUACUAGUUCAGCUAGCACUCCUCCAAGCGAGCGAAAGCCGAAAGGAAGGCCGAGGACCCAGCAAUGGACGCGGAUGGGGCCGACCAAGCCCCCCUCAGGCCUCCAUGGCCUCCUGGGGAGCACGAGGUGGACGCGGAGGAGAAGGCCCCAAGUGGACGUUGAUCAGUCGGAGCAGGCUGGUGUCCGCUGGUCGUGAAGCCUGCUCGGGGAAGGGAGGAGAAGUCGGGAAUGAAGCCGUAUUGGUCCGGGAGCGUAUACAUAAUAUAUUUUUUUUCUUUUGGUUUUGAGUAACAUCAACAACCCCAGAUAGUGCAAGUCUCAAUUUUCAGGUAGAGGUUUAAAUCAGUAGCAGCAAAUACUACUAUUCAGUACUAGCUAGGCUAUUCUUUUCUGUUUACUGGCACUGGCUGCCGCGGCGGAAUCGCUGCAUCUUUAUUCGAUUCGUAACCAUGGCCCAGUCUUACCGUUCGUCAA